UUGAACGCUGGCGGCAGGCCUAACACAUGCAAGUCGAACGGUAACAGGAAGAAGCUUGCUUCUUUGCUGACGAGUGGCGGACGGGUGAGUAAUGUCUGGGAAACUGCCUGAUGGAGGGGGAUAACUACUGGAAACGGUAGCUAAUACCGCAUAACGUCGCAAGACCAAAGAGGGGGACCUUCGGGCCUCUUGCCAUCGGAUGUGCCCAGAUGGGAUUAGCUAGUAGGUGGGGUAACGGCUCACCUAGGCGACGAUCCCUAGCUGGUCUGAGAGGAUGACCAGCCACACUGGAACUGAGACACGGUCCAGACUCCUACGGGAGGCAGCAGUGGGGAAUAUUGCACAAUGGGCGCAAGCCUGAUGCAGCCAUGCCGCGUGUAUGAAGAAGGCCUUCGGGUUGUAAAGUACUUUCAGCGGGGAGGAAGGGAGUAAAGUUAAUACCUUUGCUCAUUGACGUUACCCGCAGAAGAAGCACCGGCUAACUCCGUGCCAGCAGCCGCGGUAAUACGGAGGGUGCAAGCGUUAAUCGGAAUUACUGGGCGUAAAGCGCACGCAGGCGGUUUGUUAAGUCAGAUGUGAAAUCCCCGGGCUCAACCUGGGAACUGCAUCUGAUACUGGCAAGCUUGAGUCUCGUAGAGGGGGGUAGAAUUCCAGGUGUAGCGGUGAAAUGCGUAGAGAUCUGGAGGAAUACCGGUGGCGAAGGCGGCCCCCUGGACGAAGACUGACGCUCAGGUGAGAAAGCGUGGGGAGCAAACAGGAUUAGAUACCCUGGUAGUCCACGCCGUAAACGAUGUCGACUUGGAGGUUGUGCCCUUGAGGCGUGGCUUCCGGAGCUAACGCGUUAAGUCGACCGCCUGGGGAGUACGGCCGCAAGGUUAAAACUCAAAUGAAUUGACGGGGGCCCGCACAAGCGGUGGAGCAUGUGGUUUAAUUCGAUGCAACGCGAAGAACCUUACCUGGUCUUGACAUCCACGGAAGUUUUCAGAGAUGAGAAUGUGCCUUCGGGAACCGUGAGACAGGUGCUGCAUGGCUGUCGUCAGCUCGUGUUGUGAAAUGUUGGGUUAAGUCCCGCAACGAGCGCAACCCUUAUCCUUUGUUGCCAGCGGUCCGGCCGGGAACUCAAAGGAGACUGCCAGUGAUAAACUGGAGGAAGGUGAGGAUGACGUCAAGUCAUCAUGGCCCUUACGACCAGGGCUACACACGUGCUACAAUGGCGCAUACAAAGAGAAGCGACCUCGCGAGAGCAAGCGGACCUCAUAAAGUGCGUCGUAGUCCGGAUUGGAGUCUGCAACUCGACUCCAUGAAGUCGGAAUCGCUAGUAAUCGUGGAUCAGAAUGCCACGGUGAAUACGUUCCCGGGCCUUGUACACACCGCCCGUCACACCAUGGGAGUGGGUUGCAAAAGAAGUAGGUAGCUUAACCUUCGGGAGGGCGCUUACCACUUUGUGAUUCAUGACUGGGGUG
rnacentral:rRNA from 1 species